CCCCGGGCUCAACCUGGGAACUGCGUUCUGAACUGGGUGACUAGAGUGUGUCAGAGGGAGGUAGAAUUNCACGUGUAGCAGUGAAAUGCGUAGAGAUGUGGAGGAAUACCGAUGGCGAAGGCAGCCUCCUGGGAUAACACUGACGUUCAUGCCCGAAAGCGUGGGUAGCAAACAGGAUUAGAUACCCUGGUAGUCCACGCCCUAAACGAUGUCGAUUAGCUGUUGGGCAGCAUGACUGCUUAGUAGCGAAGCUAACGCGUGAAAUCGACCGCCUGGGGAGUACGGUCGCAAGAUUAAAACUCAAAGGAAUUGACGGGGACCCGCACAAGCGGUGGAUGAUGUGGAUUAAUUCGAUGCAACGCGAAGAACCUUACCUGGUCUUGACAUGUACGGAACCCUCCAGAGACGGAGGGGUGCCUUCGGGAGCCGUAACACAGGUGCUGCAUGGCUGUCGUCAGCUCGUGUCGUGAGAUGUUGGGUUAAGUCCCGCAACGAGCGCAACCCUUGUCAUUAGUUGCCAUCAUUAAGUUGGGCACUCUAAUGAGACUGCCGGUGACAAGCCGGAGGAAGGUGGGGAUGACGUCAAGUCCUCAUGGCCCUUAUGACCAGGGCUUCACACGUCAUACAAUGGUCGGUACAGAGGGUAGCCAAGCCGCGAGGUGGAGC
rnacentral:rRNA from 1 species